rnacentral:rRNA from 1 species
UACGAAGGGGGCUAGCGUUGCUCGGAAUCACUGGGCGUAAAGGGUGCGUAGGCGGGUCUUUAAGUCAGAGGUGAAAUCCUGGAGCUCAACUCCAGAACUGCCUUUGAUACUGAGGAUCUUGAGUACGGGAGAGGUGAGUGGAACUGCGAGUGUAGAGGUGAAAUUCGUAGAUAUUCGGAAGAACACCAGUGGCGAAGGCGGCUCACUGGCCCGGUACUGACGCUGAUGUGCGAAAGCGUGGGGAGCAAACAGG